CAGGGAUUGCCCUAGUAACGGCGAGUGAAGCGGCAACAGCUCAAAUUUGAAAUCUGGCUCUCGGGCCCGAGUUGUAAUUUGUAGAGGAUGACUUUGAUGCGGUGCCUUCCGAGUUCCCUGGAACGGGACGCCAUAGAGGGUGAGAGCCCCGUCUGGUUGGAUGCCAAAUCUCUGUAAGUCUCCUUCGACGAGUCGAGUAGUUUGGGAAUGCUGCUCUAAAUGGGAGGUAUAUGUCUUCUAAAGCUAAAUACCGGCCAGAGACCGAUAGCGCACAAGUAGAGUGAUCGAAAGAUGAAAAGCACUUUGAAAAGAGAGUUAAAAAGUACGUGAAAUUGUUGAAAGGGAAGCGUUUAUGACCAGACUUGGGCUUGGUUAAUCAUCUGGGGUUCUCCCCAGUGCACUUUUCCAGUCCAGGCCAGCAUCAGUUUUCGCCGGGGGAUAAAGGCUUCGGGAAUGUGGCUCCCCUCGGGGAGUGUUAUAGCCCGUUGUGUAAUACCCUGGCGGGGACUGAGGUUCGCGCUUCUGCAAGGAUGCUGGCGUAAUGGUCAUCAACGACCCGUCUUGAAACACGGACCAAGGAGUCGUCUUCGUAUGCGAGUGUUCGGGUGUAAAACCCCUACGCGUAAUGAAAGUGAACGCAGGUGAGAGCUUCGGCGCAUCAUCGACCGAUCCUGAUGUUCUCGGAUGGAUUUGAGUAAGAGCAUACGGGGCCGGACCCGAAAGAAGGUGAACUAUGCCUGUGUAGGGUGAAGCCAGAGGAAACUCUGGUGGAGGCUCGCAGCGGUUCUGACGUGCAAAUCGAUCGUCAAACAUGGGCAUGGGGGCGAAAGACUAAUCGAACCUUCUAGU
rnacentral:rRNA from 1 species